CAGCUCUCUAUAAUGAAGUCUCUUUUCAACAUAAUCAGCCAAUUUUUUAAUUCUACCACAUACCAGUCAUUUUAUUCUUUUGUUACUUUUUCAUAUAAUCAAAGGUAUAUAUAUACUAAACUAUAUAUAUGCAUUUACAGACCCCUCGUGAUUGGCCACCGUGAGUGACACUCGUGCAUCAUGCACGGACUACGGCACUGCUUAUGGGGUCUCAAGUACCGGGACCCCCAUGAUGCUUUAAAAGAGGCCGCCAUCAGCCGGCAUAAAGUACUAUACUGCUAUACCGUGUGCUAUACCACUAUUUUACCGGUACCCUAUACAUAAGUGCUCCAUAUGUGGAUAUAUAUGUAUUUACCUGAGCAUAUACAGGUACGGGAUACCCUUUAUAGGUACAUGGCUCUCGAUCCCUAUAGUCGAAGUUGCGCUUAGUGACUCUCGUAAGUCGCUCCUCUCUUGCGAAAUAUUGUGCGACUCUCCGCAAGAGAUAACAUUGCGAUAGCGAAUGCGGCAAUAACCGUUGUCUUGGCUUGUCUCGAUGUUAUUUACAUAAUCCUCUCUUUUUCUAUUUAUUUAUCAUCCAACUCGUCUGCUGCUUCUGUUCCUCUUUGUUAACACUUUUUCUGUCUUAUCUCGACCAAGAUAAAUUCAAAUCACGCGGUACAUUGCGCUACCGACUAUUGACGGCAGGGGCGCUGUCUACGCGUGAGACAGUUGUAUUUUGUCGUACUGCGAUUUUUGUGAAAACUUAAUGGAGCACGGACGUCGCAGCGAUUUAUGUGUUCAGAGUGUGUUUAUAUUGAACGAGUUUGUGCGACAUCAUCGUGACUCUGUAACAUACAACUUUUCCGGACGGGAAAAGCGUUAGUGGUUGUGAAACGUGAAAACAUAAACUGGAUUAUAAUUAUGCCGUACUGUCAAAUGCAAGAUGGCGAAAGGACGACAAAUAAUGGCGACUACGAAUCUUGUCAAUUGCGUCGAUCGUAAAUCGAUCGUCAUGCCAAUAGGAGCUUUCGCUUAGUUGAUUGCUGUGUCCGACUGUGAUCGAUGCUCAAGAGCCGCGAGUUGCCGUGGUGGCUUUCACGUUCAAGUAUCUCGCGCCCUCUUUGGCAUUUGAAUUUCCUUUCUAAUUCUCCCUCGGUAAAUCGUGUAAUUGGAGUACGUCACAGUAGAAUUAUUUCACCAUCGUCUAAUUACGAUUAAUCUAUGUGUAUAUAUACAGCCAGACCUGUCAGACACUAGACUGCGGUCCCGUACUCGUUCCUACGUAAUUCUUUAAACGGACGUUAAGGACUUGAAAAAAGGGCCCAAUAAAGGUAAAAGAAAGAUAUCGCUCGUAUUGCCUCCAGUACUGUCGCAGCCGGAGAUUACUACUGUGUUAACCGCAAGAUCGUACCGGUCCUGCUUAAAGAGGACUGCAGAUCGCCUACCGAUCUACCGGGACAAUGCAUUUCGAUUUACGACUGUCCGACGAUCAUCAGACUGAUACAGGCUGUACCACUGCGUCCGAUUGAUAAGGAAUUUAUACGAAAAUCACAGUGCGGUUCACUUGGUAGGGGAAUACCAAAAGUGUGCUGUGUGGC